CAGUCGCCGCGGGAAUACAGAGGGUGCGAGCGUUAAUCGGAUUUACUGGGCGUAAAGCGUGCGUAGGCGGCUUCUUAAGUCGGAUGUGAAAUCCCUGAGCUUAACUUAGGAAUUGCAUUCGAUACUGGGAAGCUAGAGUAUGGGAGAGGAUGGUAGAAUUCCAGGUGUAGCGGUGAAAUGCGUAGAGAUCUGGAGGAAUACCGAUGGCGAAGGCAGCCAUCUGGCCUAAUACUGACGCUGAGGCACGAAAGCGUGGGUAGCAAACAGGAUUAGAUACCCCGGUAGUCCCUGUCUCUUAUAC
rnacentral:rRNA from 1 species